GCCCCCAGUGGUGCAAUGGUUCAGUGCAUCUGCCUGUUAAUCAGAAAGUUGGUGGUUCAAAACCACCCAGGGAUG
rnacentral:tRNA from 1 species